AUGGAUGUCUCCUUUUCUUUUUUUCCAAAAGUUGGACAAAUUCUUACAUCUCUAUUGUAGAGAUUUGGUGCAUGGAUUUUAGGAAGAAAAGAGAAAAAAUAGUUCUUCUCAUGAUCUCUAACGUAGAGAUCAAGAUCCUCCUUUAUCUUCUGGUUCUCUAAGAGUGUUUUAAGAGAAAAAAUAAUUUUCAACUGUCAAGAUGCGAUCUCUGCAAAGGAGCUAGCACCCC
rnacentral:lncRNA from 1 species